GGGGAGUUAGCUCAAUUGGUAGAGCAAUACGCUGGCAGUGUAUAGGUUAGGGGUUCAAGUCCCCUACUUUCCA
rnacentral:tRNA from 1 species